CCUACGGGAGGCAGCAGUGGGGAAUAUUGGACAAUGGGGGCAACCCUGAUCCAGCCAUGCCGCGUGUGUGAAGAAGGCCCUCGGGUUGUAAAGCACUUUCAGUGAGGAAGAACGCCUGGUGGUUAAUACCCAUCAGGAAAGACAUCACUCACAGAAGAAGCACCGGCUAACUCCGUGCCAGCAGCCGCGGUAAUACGGAGGGUGCGAGCGUUAAUCGGAAUUACUGGGCGUAAAGCGCGCGUAGGUGGCUUGAUAAGCCGGUUGUGAAAGCCCCGGGCCCAACCUGGGAACGGCAUCCGGAACUGUCAAGCUAGAGUGCAGGAGAGGAAGGUAGAAUUCCCGGUGUAGCGGUGAAAUGCGUAGAGAUCGGGAGGAAUACCAGUGGCGAAGGCGGCCUUCUGGACUGACACUGACACUGAGGUGCGAAAGCGUGGGUAGCAAACAGGAUUAGAUACCCCUGUAGUC
rnacentral:rRNA from 1 species